CACGUAGGGGGCGAGCGUUGUCCGGAUUUAUUGGGCGUAAAGAGCUCGUAGGCGGUUUCGUAAGUCGGAUGUGAAAACUCCAGGCUCAACUUGGAGACGCCAUUCGAUACUGCGAUGACUUGAGUCCGGUAGGGGAGUGUGGAAUUCCUGGUGUAGCGGUGAAAUGCGCAGAUAUCAGGAGGAACACCGGCGGCGAAGGCGGCACUCUGGGCCGGUACUGACGCUGAGGAGCGAAAGCCAGGGGAGCGAACGGG
rnacentral:rRNA from 1 species